rnacentral:rRNA from 1 species
UACGGAGGGUGCGAGCGUUGUCCGGAAUCACUGGGCGUAAAGGGCGCGUAGGCGGCCUGAUAAGUAGGGGGUGAAAUCCUGCGGCUUAACCGCAGGGCUGCCUUCUAAACUGUCAGGCUGGAGCACAGUAGAGGCAGGUGGAAUUCCCGGUGUAGCGGUGGAAUGCGUAGAGAUCGGGAAGAACAUCAGUGGCGAAGGCGGCCUGCUGGGCUGAACCUGACGCUGAGAUGCGAAAGUGUGGGGAGCAAACGGG